CCCAUCUGCACUGUUGUGGAGAUUACUGUCUCCCCUUGGUGGGCUAAGCUGCCGCUGGGGAGAGGGGGUAACAAGCUCCUCUCCCAUACAUACUUUCAGCCGCUGGGGAGAGGGGAUAACAAGCUCCUCUCCCUGACACUCUCUCUGCUGUUGAAGGGGGAGAUCGACUGUCUCCCCUUUCAAUAAUUUGUCCUGUUGCUGGGGAGAGGUGAUAACUGGUUCCUCUCCCUGGAACACUCUCUGCUGUUGGAG